rnacentral:rRNA from 1 species
GACGAACGCUGGCGGCGUGCUUAACACAUGCAAGUCGAGCGGUGCGGCGAACGGGCGAGUAACUCGUGAGUAACUGCCCCCCGCCCUGGGAUAACAGUUGGAAACGGCUGCUAAUACCGGAUAGUGGGGGAUGGCUCGCGUCCUAUCGGCUUAUUGGUGGGGUAAUGGCCUACCAAGGCGACGACUGGUAGCCGGCCUGGGAGGGCGACCGGGCACAUUGGGCUGCGAUACGGCCCAAACUGCUACGGGAGGCAACAGUGGGGAAUAUUGCACAGUGGGGGAAACCCUGAUGCAGCAACGCCGCGGGCGGGAUGACGGCCUUCGGGUUGUAAACCGCUUUCAGCCAUGACGCGGUAGUGGCAGAAGAAGCACCGGCUAACUACGUGCCAGCAGCCGCGGUAAUAC